AUGUUAUGUAUCGAGGAUAUCAGACUUGAAACUUACUUUGCAUUUAGGAAUAUCAAAUAUGAAAUAAAGGAUUUGUCUUUUUACAGAUUGAAUUGUCUCCAGCAGAGAAGGCAGAAUUCCAUGCUGUCAUGCCCUCUUAUAACAAUGAAAGAAUGCACGUUAAUCUUGGUGAAGAACAGAGGUCUAAAUGUAAUCAAUGAGCAAGCAACAGUUGAUGGGGAGUUUCAAUCCUGCAUUUUUUAUUUUAUUUUCAAUUUUAUUUCAAAAACUAGAUUAGUAUUUUACUGCUCUUUUUUUUUUUUUUUUUUUAAUAAAAUACUAAGGCCUUUACAGAUUCAUGAUUUUUUAGAUACCUAUCAUUGAUAUGUUUAGUGUAAAUAUAUGCCCAAAAGGCUGUUCUGAAAAUUCACGUUGAGUAAGUUAUCUGAAUGUGUAUCUUGGUAUAUAUCCCAGGCAUGAACAGGGAGAAGACAUUUGGAAGGAAAUCAGAUCCUCAUUUCUACAGCAAAUAAAAUCCCUCAUACAUCUUUAUCUCUACA
rnacentral:lncRNA from 1 species